rnacentral:misc_RNA from 1 species
GAUGAAGAACGCAGCGAAAUGCGAUACUUGGUGUGAAUUGCAGAAUCCCGUGAACCAUCGAGUCUUUGAACGCAAGUCGCGCCUCAAGCCAUUAGGUUGAGGGCACGUCUGCCUGGGCGUCACAUAUCGUUGCCUGAUGCCAGUUUCCUCGUGAUGGGUGACUGUGCAGGGCGAAUGAUGGCUUCCCGUGAGCAUUGUUGCCUCAUGGUUGGUUGAAAAUUGAGUCCUUGGUAGGGAGCGCCGUGAUAGAUGGUGGUUGAGUGACGAACGAGACCCAAUCAUGUGAGACCCCUACCGAAUUUGGCCUUCAUGACCCACAUGCGUCUUUGGAACGCUCAUGACGAGACCUCAGGUCAGGCGGGGCUACCCGCUGAGUUUAAGCAUAUCAAUAAGCGGAGGA